rnacentral:rRNA from 1 species
GAUGAACGCUGGCGGCGUGCCUAAUACAUGCAAGUCGAGCGAACAGACGAGGAUCUUGCCCCUCUUACGCUAGCGGCGGACGGGUGAUUAACACGUGGCUAACUGACCUAUAAGACUGAGAUAACGUCGCGGAACCGGAUCUAAUACAGGAUAAUAUAUUGAACGUCAGGGUUCAUUAGUGAAAACGGUAUUUGCUGACCCUAAUAGGUGGUUCCUCGCCGCAUUAGCUAGUUGGUAAGGUAACGGCUUACCAAGGCAACGAUGCGUAGCCGACCUGAGAGGGUGAUCGGUCACACUGGAACUGAGACACGGUCCAGACUCCUACGGGAGGCAGCAGUAGGGAAUCUUCGGCAAUGGGCGAAAGCCUGACGCAGCAACGCCGCGUGAGUGAAGAAGGUCUUCGGAUCGUAAAACUCUGUUAUUAGGGAGGAAGAAAUGUGAAAGUAACUAUUCACGUCUUGACGGUACCUAAUGAGAAAGCCACGGCUAACUACGUG